CAAUAGCGUAUAUUAAAGUUGUUGCGGUUAAAAAGCUCGUAGUUGGAUUUCUGCAUGGAAGGAGCGGUCCACCCUUUGGGUGAGUUACUGCUACCUUUUGUGCAUCUUCCUGAGAAGGCGUUCUUCACUUUAUUGUGAGGCCGCAUGACUCAGGACGUUUACUUUGAGGAAAUGAGAGUGUUUCAAGCAGGCAAAUGCCUUGAAUACGUUAGCAUGGAAUAAUAGCAUCGGACCAUCGUCCAGCUGUUGGUGUCUGGGCGGAAGGUAAAGGUGAAUAGGAGUUGUUGGGGCGAUCGUAUUUAACUUGUCAGAGGUGGAAAUUACUUUGGUAGUUUGUUUGUAAGAACGGACGUACUGCGAAAGACAUCUGCCAAAGAAUGUUCUUCAUUGAUCAAGAACGAAAGUUAAGGUGGAUCGAAGACGAUCAGAUACCAU
rnacentral:rRNA from 1 species